rnacentral:rRNA from 1 species
AUGGUGCUCGGCGGCUGCGGCAACGGAGCUGAUGGAGCACGAUCCGACCAGUUCAACGGAGGCAGUAGCACGGGGCAGCGGCAGCAGCAUGGAGGGCGUCCGCUUGACUGGGAAGGUGAUGGAACUGCAAAUAGGAGUGGAAGCGGCAACCAUGAUGCAGGAAUUAAAGAUAAUAACUUAUAUGAUCCUUGGAACCAUACAUGGCCGUAUUCUGGGGGUUUUCAUUGUAUGUACUGUGGCCUAAAGCACAAAGGUGGAGGUGCAACCCGUGCCAAGGAGCACCUUGGUUGGAUUGUAGGUAACGUGAGGAGCUGCCUAAAUGUGCCAAGAAAUGUGAGAGAUGCAACGAGGGAGUGCCGGGAUGAAUCGAAGAGGAAGAAAAGAGAGAAACAAAAUAGCAGGCUGAGAAUUGAAAGAAAUAUUAUGGAAGGGCUGUAUCAACAAGGAGGGGUGAUUAACAUAAUAGAUGAUGAUGAAGAAGAAAUUCAGAUGAAUAUUAGAGAGGCAUUGCGUGACCCGAAUGUCUCCCGCAGAGUUGAUAGGAGGAUUGGCAAGGGGAGUGUGGGUGACGUGCGAGUUGCUGUUGGCAAAAGGAGUAUCACCGCAUAUUUUGACAAGCAAUUAUGCAGCAACAAAGUAUCUAUGCAGCCCAAGAUCAGUAGUGCUUUGGAUCCUAAUUCGAGAGAUGCACUUGGCCUAGCUUGGUCCAAGUUUUUUCAUGCCAAUGAUAUUGCUGGACGUAAAGCUGACUGUCCAUACUUCCAAGCUGCUUUGAAGAUCACUCAACAAUUAGGGCCUACUCCUAUACCAACCGCGAAGGAGAUUGAUGGAAAAUAUUUGGAUGCAAACUAUGAUGAAGCAACUUCGUUUCUUCAGAAAUUCAAACAAGAUUGGAAAAACUUCGGUGUGACCCUUAUGUGUGACUCUUGGACUGGUCCAACAGGAAUGAGUCUCAUAAACUUCAUGGUGUAUUGCAAUACACGAAUGUUCUUCCUCAAUACUAUUGAUGCAUCCGGUCAGACUCAGAAUUCAGACUUUAUCUAUAGAGAGAUUGAGAAGGUUGUAGAAGAGAUAGGCCAUGAACAUAUAGUUCAAAUAGUAACAGAUAAUGGGUCCAAUUAUAAGAAAGCUUGCAAAACCCUUAUAGAAGAACCAAAGUACUCUCAUAUUGUUUGGCAACCAUGUGCUGCUCACACCGUCAAUCUUAUGUUAAAAGAUAUAGCCAAAUUUCCUGAGGUUGAUGUGAUAGUCAAGAGUGCCAAGACAAUCUGUAGGUUCUUGCAUAAGCACAAUAAUCUACAUGAUAACAUGAAGAAGAACAUAGGUGGUGAACUAAUUAGACCAAAUGCCACCCGGUUUGGGACUGUCUUCAUGUUCCUUGAGAGUUACCAUUUGAAGAAAGAUAAAUUUAGGGAGUGGAUGGUUUCUCAGGAUUGGAAAGAGUGUCAGUGGAGAUAUGAGCCUGGAUACGUGUUUUCUGAAGAAUGUUUGUCUAGUAAUCUUUGGUGGAAUGCACUAGAGUGGGUACUAGGUUCGUUAAGGCCACUUUAUAAGGCCAUGAGGUAUGCUGAUACGCAGAAACAAUGCACUCUUUCUGGCUUCAAAAAAAGUAUGAUGCUCGCUAUACAACGGAUGGAAGCACAUCUAGGCCCUACAUCAAGGUUGUACCUUAGUUUCAUGCGCAAGGUGGGCAAGAGGAUAGAUGCAAUGGAAGAAGAUACGUUUAUGGUUGCAGCUGCCGUCCUUGAUCCAUAUACACAUUACAGCCUCAACCUUUGCAACCAUACAAAUUAUGCUACUGCACUAACAGAUGCGAUAGCGAAGAUAUUAGAUCCAAAGAGUGCUCUUUCAGCCAUUGAUGAAGUUAGUAAGUUUAGGGAGUGCCAAGGAAGGUUUGGGACCAGAUUAGCACAAGAAGCUGCGGCGAGAAUGGAGCCAACCCAAUGGUGGUUUCAAUUUGGAGGGGAUGUUCCUGCAUUGCAGAAGUGUGCAAUGAGAAUUUGCUCACAAUGUGUCUCAUCUAGUGGGUGUGAGAGGAACUGGAGCGCCUUUGCUUUGGUGCACACAAAGCAAAGAAAUCGCCUUUUAUAUGACAAGCUCCACAAGCUAGUUUCUGUCCGCUACAACCUAAAGAUACGUGCUGAAGAAGAUCAAGAGAAAGAGAGAGAUAUAGAUAAAGAGGUUGAUCCAAGUGCAUUGCUGAUAGAUACAACAAUGUUCGAUGAGACAAAUCCAAUAAUGGAGUGGCUGAAUGAGGAUGAAGAGGAUCCAAUUUUGGAUGGAGCCGAUGCGGCCAGUGCUGUUUUUGAGAAAAUAAGGCGCCUCAACUCAAGCAGGAAGGAUUCUUAUGUUGGUACAAAGGCUAAUAAGAAGAAAAGAAAGAGGAAUCAUGAUGAGGAGAAUGAGUAUGUCGAAACUGACAGUGAGAAUGACGACAACGAGAAUGAAUAUGUUGAUAAUGAGAGUGAGGAUGAUGAUGGGGUGAGUGAGGAUGAUGAGGAUGAUCAACAAGAUCAGCAAGAAACACAAAUGCAAGUGGAAGAAGAGACACAAGUACAAGUUGAAAAGGAGACACAAGCAAGCAUUGGCAAUUUGGAGACUCGUAGAUCUGGACGACUAGUUAGGAAGAAGACCAAGGAAAUCAACAGCCUCUACUCGUAG